UACGUAGGGUGCAAGCGUUGUUCGGAAUCAUUGGGCGUAAAGCGCGUGUAGGCUGCUAUCUAAGUCGGGUGUGAAAUCUCCCGGCUUAACUGGGAGGGGCCGUGCGAAACUGCCUGGCUUGAGGUCGGAAGGGGAAAGUGGAAUUCCGGGUGUAGUGGUGGAAUACGUAGAUAUCCGGAGGAACACCAGCGGCGAAGGCGGCUUUCUGGUCCGAUUCUGACGCUGAGGCGCGAAAGCGUGGGGAGCGAUCCGG
rnacentral:rRNA from 1 species